UUGUAUCCACUACUUCUUUUCCAUCCAUGCCAUUUCCUUCACCAUCUCGAUAAGCCUCUAAAACAACAUUAAUAAACACAUUACAAACAUUCCAUACUUGUGAAAUCUAGCUUACUAUCAAGUUAAAAUUAGCUUAAACUCACGAGUAAAACACACUCGUCAUCUGACAUGCGUAAGUGACGAGAGAGAUGUGACCUAUAGACCUAGAUAGCUCCUCGGUGGAAGUAGUGGUCGAGACACGAAAUGAUAGAGAGUAGAGACAGUGGUGAGUAAAGCGGAUGGCUCCAAUUGAGUCAAAUCGAAGGGAAUGUCUGUGAGUUUUCCCUCCUUUAAUGAAGACAAAAUUGUUGCGGGUAGGAAGAAUAGCAUUGGAAAGUGAAGGAGUGGUUAAAGAGGAGGUUGCUGAGACUGCACUGCCACAAAUUAGUUAGUUUAACAUCUGGCGAAUCAAACUCGGAUUUCAAGCCCAGCAUCGAACCCAAAACCCUUUUUGGGAUGGUGAAGAGAGGGAAUUGUUGUAUUAGUGUUAACAACAUUUUCAGUCUAUAGUAUAUCCUUUUAAGUCUUACAUACAAGAAGAACUCAGCGGUAUUCAUCUCUGGGUUUUGGUUUUGGAGUGGAGGUGGAAUUGGGAAGAAAAUGAAGUUUUGAUGAUAAAGUAGGAUAAGG
rnacentral:lncRNA from 1 species